rnacentral:tRNA from 1 species
GGUUCCAUGGUGUUGUCAUCACACAUACUUGACACACAGAAAAUCCUGGGUUUAAUUCCCAGUGGAACCU